ensembl:lncRNA
CAGGAGUCUGUCCCAGGAAUGGAGUGCUGACUCCAUUAGGAGUGAGUCUCUAGACCUCUCUGAAGGAUUCAAUGUCAGUGCUAAAUUUACAGUAGGGAGGCAUCUCCACCGCAAGUUCGAAUUCAACAACAGUCACAAUACUUGGAUUGAUGUUCUGUUUCAGAAACAAAAAAUGAAAAGAAGUGUGGACUCUUGUCCAGUAUUACAUAUAAAAUAUGGUGGUACUGAAGUCCCAAAAGUAAGCUUUACACUUGGGAUGUUGGCUUUCAAUCCAAUUCCUUGAAGGCCAGGCAGACUCAGAGGGGCAGGAUCUGAACCACUGGAUCAGCAUGUUGGACACUUUGGGGUUAUCACAGAUGACAAGCACUCAAAGGUAAUAAAUCAAGAGCUCAAUUUACAAAGAAGAAUCGGUAGUUUUCUGAGAAGUAGUGGUGUGGCCGGCUUGGAGAAAUUACGAAGUCAAGUCCAUUUCUCCUUCCAUUUUGCCGUCCAAACAGACGCAGAGCGGGUCCCACGCCAUCUGAAGGAGCCCGGACAGUGUCACCCUCUCCACGGUGCUGGCCGGCCUGCCACCCACGCAGGGGAGCCUGGGCCUGCGCCCCUCUUCCGCACCCGCCCGCCGCAGGUGAGACCCUCGCUCCCCACCGAGUUCUGUUUGGGUUUCCGUGGCGCUUGUUCCCCGCAGGUUUGUUUGUUUUUCUUCAAAUUACAGAUGCGGGGAAAACCGCCUGACAUCAUGAGAGCAGGACAAACUCACUUUGAAGGAUUCCUGGGCAGGACUUCAAGUGAAAUCAUAUGCCUGAGAAGAACUUGAUACCGGUCUAGAGAAAAUAACUAGUUCUGACUUUGCCAAACCGUGGAAUGUGCAAAAUGCUCUACUUUUGUGCAAGGGGCCAAGUGUCCCUUAAAAAGCUCCAUUAUGAACGCGAAGGGGCAAGAAGCUGGUGCCGUUGUUGAACGUGGGGGAGAAGUACAAAAGGCGUGUGAGUUUCCGCUACUUGACGUUAUUUUAUUAGCAGUCUGUUCCACUUUGGGGAGGGUAUCUGCACCUGUGCAUGAACGAUUAUCUCUGCCUGUGCUCAGCGAGUAUAUGCACGCAACGGGGAAAUAUAUGGGGACAAAACAUUUACUGCUUUCUUGCCACUGAAGGCUAUCAAUCAAAAAAUGAAAAACAAAAGUAGUUAUUUGCACAGUAAAGGCAACAACGCAGUCAACAUUUUAGAAUUCAUCCAAGCCCCUAUAAUGGAAUACUUUCUGCUAGCAAAUGCAUUCUGGUUGAAAGGCGAAGCUGAAUCCAGCCACCUAACUAAAUGGAAAGAUUUAUUUUCUCAGUGAUAAAACAGGUGUGUUUGUAUCUUUUAAACAAAUGUAGGUAACAAAAAUAAAAUGAAAUGAAAUAAAAUGAGAGGAAAUAACGGUGGAGAAGAAGACACAGGUGGCUUUAUUUGUAUUCUAAAAAUGUUAUUUUGUCACUUGGUGAGAGGUAAGAAUAUAGACUUUGCAAGCUGAAAAUUAUAUUCAAGUAGCUAAUAUUUUCCACUGUGAAGUAUCCUCAAAGUAAAAAUAUUAACCACCUUUUGUUCCUUCAUUUAUUUCUCUUAAGACCUAAAGGAAAAUAUUUCCCGGUAUUUUGUAUUUAGUUACUCCACACAAAUGUGACACUUGCUUUUUUUCAGUUUCCUCUUAUGAAAAAAAAGUGGAAAAAGUAAAACAUUAAGGAAAAAAAGGCAAAUGGAAGACUACCUUCCUUUUUUUUAAACAUCUAGUUUUUACACCCAGAGUUAAGAUAGUGUUUACCUUCUCAGCAAUGAUGGUCAGCUCCCUCCUGAUGUAAUGUAGCUCAAGACAUCUGAAAUAUCAAAUAGUCAGACCAAACUAGUGAACAUGAAGAUUCCCCCCAUGAACAAUUUAGAAAAUGGAGGUGGUUGAUGAUACACAAAAGAGAGGAUUACCAUUCUGAUACUUUCC